UACGGGGGGGAGCAAGCGUUGUUCGGAUUUACUGGGCGUAAAGGGCGCGUAGGCGGUCAGCACAAGUCGGUUGUGAAAUCUCCGAGCUUAACUCGGAAAGGUCAACCGAAACUGUGCGACUAGAGUGCAGAAGGGGCAACUGGAAUUCUUGGUGUAGCGGUGAAAUGCGUAGAGAUCCGGAAGAACACCGGUGGCGAAGGCGGCCUGCUGGGCAAUUGCUGACACUGAGGCGCGACAGCGUGGGGAGCAAACAGG
rnacentral:rRNA from 1 species